rnacentral:piRNA from 1 species
AGAAAUUUCAAGACUGUACUACCUUGUAGA